rnacentral:snRNA from 1 species
AGCUUUGCACAGUAGCAGUAUUGUAGCCAAUGAGAUUUAUCCGAGGAGCAAUUAUUGCUAAUUGAAAAGACAUAUAAGACAUUGAGUUAAAACACUGAAAAAAUUAUCUGAAAUAUUGAUUU